GGGGGAGGUUUUGAUCUUCAUUUCUAGGAAGGAGGUUGCUAAAAGAGGUUAGUUUAUGUCCCUAUUGCCUCAAUUUGCUCAUUCUAGCUCAAUUUGAGCCACUUUUUGGAUCUAGGGUUUCACCAUGAGUGAGAGAGAAGAAUAGCUAGCUUUUUGUCUUGAUUUGUUGAUAUGGUUAGAUGGGGUUGUUUAAUAUGGUUGG
rnacentral:lncRNA from 1 species